UACGAAGGGGGCGAGCGUUAUUCGGAAUCACUGGGCGUAAAGCGUGCGUAGGCUGUUCUGCAAGUCAGGAGUGAAAGCCCAAGGCUCAACCUUGGAAGCGCUCUUGAAACUGCAGGACUAGAAUUUGGGAGAGGAUAGCGGAAUUGUCAGUGUAGCAGUGAAAUGCGUAGAUAUUGACAGGAACACCAGUGGCGCAAGCGGCUAUCUGGACCAGCAUUGACGCUGAGGCACGAAAGCGUGGGGAUCAAACAGG
rnacentral:rRNA from 1 species